GACGAACGCUGGCGGCGUGCUUAACACAUGCAAGUCGAACGGAAAGGCCUCUUUCGGGGGGUACUCGAGUGGCGAACGGGUGAGUAACACGUGAGUAACCUGCCCUUGACUUUGGGAUAACUUCAGGAAACUGGGGCUAAUACCGGAUAGGAGCUCCUGCUGCAUGGUGGGGGUUGGAUAGUUUCGGCGGUUGGGGAUGGACUCGCGGCUUAUCAGCUUGUUGGUGGGGUAGUGGCUUACCAAGGCUUUGACGGGUAGCCGGCCUGAGAGGGUGACCGGCCACAUUGGGACUGAGAUACGGCCCAGACUCCUACGGGAGGCAGCAGUGGGGAAUAUUGCACAAUGGGUGGAAGCCUGAUGCAGCAACGCCGUGUGCGGGAUGACGGCCUUCGGGUUGUAAACCGCUUUCGCUCAUGACGAAGCUUUGUGUGACGGUAGUGGGUAAAGAAGCACCGGCUAACUACGUG
rnacentral:rRNA from 1 species